ACAUGAACACACAUAUACACACUAAUAAUGAAGUGUCAGCCCUGGGUUUAUGCCUAGCACUGAAAGUGGCAUUUGUAGAGGGGUUUUAGUUAAAAAGGAUGGCUUUAGAAGAAAUGGAAGUAGGUGAGGUUUCUGCUGAGGAGGGAGGAGCAGCACCCUCAGUAGUUCCCAGUGCCUCCUCGAAGCUUGCUUCCCUGUUUCUAGUGUCUCUCUAGCCUGGGUAACCAUGCAGCAGAGCAGAGCAGAGCAGCCAGCCCCAGCUCUGAAGGAAGCAACUGAGUAUCUGGGCUGCACUUGGGUUUGAGGUGAACAGCUCUUUUCAUAGUCAGCAUCCUGGGAGCUGUGGGUCAGAGGCUAUGUUCUUCCCACAGAGACCUUGCUCCAGUUAAGCUCUGGCCAGCCAAGGGGCAGGAAUAGUUGUGAUAGCGGAGGAGGGGCUUGGCUCAGCAUUCAGGGAAAGACACCAUGGAAACAGCUCUUCCUGAAGCGCAUUCACGCAACCGGAAUGGUCUCCGUUCCGUUGUACACACAGGGCAGCGUCUCCCUGGGCUUUUAGUAAGCACACACAACUUCUGGACUCUCCCUCUGGCAUGGCGUAAGAGGUCCAUCUCUAUGAGGCACUGUGAGACCCAGCCUGGGGAUGAGGUGUGCUGAUGGAUGGUCAUGGGUCACUCCUGGGAAGGGAAUGUACUACCCAGCUCUCCAACUCCUUGUCCUCCAUUUUGCCUAUCCAGAGUGGAUGGUGGAAGGGGGUUGGAGAAGGAGGAGGAGGUAGCUGAGGUCCAGUGACCUCUCCUCACAGAGGACAGCAUCCAGCGAGCUCAGCCCUCAGGGUGGCUUGGCCAGCAGCCUCACUGUGUGCGGGUAGGAGGUGACACCUGUCACCAGCCACCUUGUCUUUGUCCCUACUCCUCAGUUUUGCUUCCACAGAGCCGGUCCUGGGCUUCCAAUCUUUCCACCUGACUCUUUGGUGGCUUGCCACAUCUACCUGCCAUGUGCUGGCCAAGGGGACGUCUUCAGGCAUGAGGACGCUCUGUGGUAUCCAUGGGCCCCUCCUUUGUUGUCCUGGUACUUAGGGAAGCUCAGCUUCUGCUGAGGUAGGAAUUUGGGCUAUCGUGAUACUUUUUUGUGGAGGACUGGGGAGUAACUGGUAGCUACUGGCUUGGUAUAACAGUCAUGACUCAUCACAGUAAAGUGUCCAUCUGCUUUCCAAACCGAAGGCUGAAUUAGAUUGCAGGGGGUAGGGAAGAAGGCAAUAUGUCUUGAACGGUAGCCAGAGAUAAAGAGGCUUUGACUCUAGGUAUUUAGAGCAGUGUAGAGAAAAGACCAUCAUGACUAUAGAUGUCCUAAGAGGAGUGGGUUCAAGAGAGGAGUUAGCCAAGUUCUUGUCAAACAUAAGUCUUUUGGGGUCCCUCGCUGUCUUGCUUGGCUCUGUAGAUUACACUGAAGCCCUGAUUCCUGUACCUGCUAUUGCUGCUCUGCCUUGGGAUCUGCUCAGCACAGAGCAGAGGUGCAGAAAGCAUUGUAAGCUGCUCCUUCUUCAGGGCUGGCCAUGUCUGAGCUAACGAUGAAGACCAAGAAGCCCCGAGACCUGAAGAUGCAGAGCAGAGGCCUAAGAAGGACCGAAGGCUGGAGAAGACCAAUGUCUCUGCUCAAGGAGCCCAAAAGGAAAGGAUUUUGUAUUUUCCUCCCAGAGUCACCUUGGCCAUUGGCGAGUCACAUCUUUGGGUGCCUUGUGAAGAAUUUUCCACAAAGAACUAACCCACCAUGGAUGUGGGCAGCAGCAUCCCAAGGGCUGGGGACAUGGUAAGACAAGAGAGAGAGGAAAUAAGGCCUGAAUUUUCCUUUUCCUACUUCCUGCCUUGACAGGAAAUAUGCUCUCUGUCCUAACAGAUCAAACCCUCUGACAGUGUAAACUAAAAUAAAUCAUUCCUCCUUUCAAUUUGCCCUAUCAAACUAUCUGUUUGAGUGACAACAUUAAUAGAAAGAGUGCAUCUCAAUGUGGCAACUAGUGUCACACCAGAGAUGUCCAUGUGUCUGAAGUCACAGAGCCAGUUUUAACCUCCUCACUCCUGUGGGGCUGUAUUACCUAAGAAUAGAUACAUGCGUCUUAGUUCAGUGGGCUUAUUCUGCAGAAGGUAAGAGUUUACUUUUGGUUUAAGCCUCACUAAAACAUUCCCUGAGGGUUGGGGAUU
rnacentral:sRNA from 1 species